rnacentral:rRNA from 1 species
GUAGGUGGCAAGCGUUGUCCGGAAUUAUUGGGCGUAAAGCGCGCGCAGGCGGUCCUUUAAGUCUGAUGUGAAAGCCCACGGCUCAACCGUGGAGGGUCAUUGGAAACUGGGGGACUUGAGUACAGAAGAGGAAAGCGGAAUUCCAAGUGUAGCGGUGAAAUGCGUAGAGAUUUGGAGGAACACCAGUGGCGAAGGCGGCUUUCUGGUCUGUAACUGACGCUGAGGCGCGAAAGCGUGGGGAGCAAACAGGAUUAGAUACCCUGGUAGUCCACGCCGUAAACGAUGAGUGCUAAGUGUUAGGGGGUUUCCCGCCCCCCUUAGUGCUGCAGCUAACGCAUUGAAAAAAAAACCUCCGCCUGGGGAGUACGGCCGCAAGGCUG